GGAUUGUGGUUCAGUGGUAGAAUGCUUGCCUAGCAUGAGUGAGGCACUGGAUUCGAUCCUCAGCACCG
rnacentral:tRNA from 1 species